rnacentral:rRNA from 1 species
GAUCCUGGCUCAGGAUGAACGCUAGCUACAGGUUUAACACAUGCAAGUCGAGGGGCAGCAUGGUCUUAGCUUGCUAAGGCCGAUGGCGAUCGGCGCACGGGUGAGUAACGCGUAUCCAACCUGCCUUACACUCUUGGACAGCCUUCUGAAAGGGAGAUUAAUACAAGAUGUUAUCAUGAGUAAGCAUUUUCACAUGAUUAAAGGUUUACCGGUGUAAGAUGGGGAUGCGUU